GUAGGUGGCAAGCGUUGUCCGGGAAUUAUUGGGCGUAAAGCGCGCGCAGGCGGUUCGUUUAAGUCUGAUGUGAAAGCCCACGGGCUCAACCGUGGAGGGUCAUUGGAAACUGGAGAACUUGAGUACAGAAGAGGAAAGCGGAAUUCCACGUGUAGCGGUGAAAUGCGUAGAGAUGUGGAGGAACACCAGUGGCGAAGGCGGCUUUCUGGUCUGUAACUGACGCUGAGGCGCGAAAGCGUGGGGAGCAAACAGGAUUAGAUACCCUGGUAGUCCACGCCGUAAACGAUGAGUGCUAAGUGUUAGGGGGUUUCCGCCCCUUAGUGCUGCAGCUAACGCAUUAAGCACUCCGCCUGGGGAGUACGGCCGCAAAGGCUGA
rnacentral:rRNA from 1 species